rnacentral:lncRNA from 1 species
UUAGGAAGGCAAUCGUACGAAAAUUGUGAAGAGUAAAUAAGACACCUAAUUCGUUAGUCGUAAAUCGAGGAGGGGAGGGUACAUGUGUGGCUGAAGUUCAGUGGUAAACCUACACAUGGAUAGAGUUUAAAAUCUAGUCCAAAUAUGGAUAGGUGUUUGUGAGCAUGGGUCAUUUAGCAAAUGUAACUAUUGUGGCCAAUGUGAGAUU